UGCGAGUCGAGCGGAAACGACACUAACAAUCCUUCGGGUGCGUUAAUGGGCGUCGAGCGGCGGACGGGUGAGUAAUGCCUAGGAAAUUGCCUUGAUGUGGGGGAUAACCAUUGGAAACGAUGGCUAAUACCGCAUAAUGCCUACGGGCCAAAGAGGGGGACCUUCGGGCCUCUCGCGUCAAGAUAUGCCUAGGUGGGAUUAGCUAGUUGGUGAGGUAAUGGCUCACCAAGGCGACGAUCCCUAGCUGGUCUGAGAGGAUGAUCAGCCACACUGGAACUGAGACACGGUCCAGACUCCUACGGGAGGCAGCAGUGGGGAAUAUUGC
rnacentral:rRNA from 1 species